CUUCAGCUCCCUAGAUGUGAGGAUGCAGACACUUGCCACCAGGCUGUUUCCUAAGGUUCAUUACAGCCCUGCUUAUUGCCAGGAAGCAUUACAGCUUUGUGCUUGCAGCAGCUUUAAAGGCAGAUGAAAGCCAUCGUACCAGGGUACCCCAGAGGCACACCAAGUGCAUCAUCCCAGGUGACCUUUGGGGCUGGGAAGAAGCUGCAGUUUUCCACUAGCAUCCAUGAGUCAACACGAGCAUCAAGUCACAGCAGCACGCCAAACCUCAUUUAUCAUUCCAUUUAAGGUGUCAGCAGAGCCAUUAUUCAAAUGGAUGGCCACACAUGCAAUCAAUCUUUAAUGAAACAAUAAUUGCACCUUCCACUCUGCAAGACCUCUGCCUUUCUUAAAGCUGGAUAUUUUGUCUUCUGUUUAUUCCUGGAAUCACUGGCAGCUUAGUUGGAAAAGGAUAUUGCAAUGGCCUGGUACCCUGAUCUGUUUGCACUGAUGUCCCCACGGAGGGGACACAGAGAGCUGGCUGGGAGAAGAAAAUGAACAGUUCUAUUUAUGCAGCACGUAAAUGAUCACGGAGAAAGAACGAUUUCCAUUUGCCUACAUUCUUUCCUGCUCUCAUCUGCCCCAGGUCAGAGUCUCCCUGUGCUGAGCGAGGGCACAGACCUGGCUCAUGUUGGAGGGGUGAUGCAUUGCUGACAUCCCAUGGCUGACACCCAGGUGGGCUCACAGCCCUGGCCAUAAGGAGCUGUCCUGGAGCAAAGCCCUGGAGCACUGCAGCGGGUGCUGCUCUGUGCAGGAGCUCCCAUCUUCCCUCAGCACGUGUCCCUGCGUGAGAUCUGGAGUCUUUCAAGUCUGGAUAUGGGAGUGAUGCUGUGCACAAGCCUUGGCUUGGUUUCUGCAAAAGCUCAUUCUGAAAAGAAGGGGUUUUUAUAUAUCCUCCCAUCUUUCCUUCUGCUACACAAACGUACUCUCUCAGUGCAGAUAAUUAAACAUGCUCACACAUCCCCAAAGCAGAGCAGCUCAGGUGUGACCAAACGUGCCCGUUCCUGCAUUUCACCCUUUGAAAGCUUCACAAAUCAAAGAGACUCACUUUCAGACAGUGAUGAAUUGCUUACGCUCCCAUGUGUUUGCUUGGAGUCCUCCUUUAAGAAAAUGUGAAUGUUUUUGCUGGCUGUGAAAGUGUGGGGGAGAUGCUCCAGUCCUCUCGAGGUGUGAGGAGCAAGCUGGCAUCCAUCUCCAUCCCCAUAACGCUGCACUGGGGGGUUCAUAGCCACACUCCAGGCUGUGUGGGUAUGGAGCUUUGUCACAACACUUCAUCCCAGCUUGGCUGGAUCCCCUUUCCUUUUUAAACCCCAACUGCUUUGCUUCUGAUCUGACCUGCUUCAUCUCCCUGGCUCUGUCUUUCCCUGUGAUGGCUGCUGCAUGUGAUUUGCUUUUACAUGGGCCUAAAUCUGGAUUGAUGAUCUGCCCCAUCCUCUGAAGAGCUGUAUCACAGCGAUGACAUUUCAGAGCCAGUGUAUCACUACACACAGACUUGCCGAAGCACUUCCUCAGCUCCCCUCCCUCCUAACAAUGCAUUACUUAAGAAAAUUAAAGUUGAAGCAGGUAUGUGACCAUCCUUCUGAUUCAGGGGGCCGUGCACCAGAGACGUUGCUGGAAUAAGGAAGGCUAGCAUUGCCUUUGCUCAGAUCCUUCUGGCAGCACUUAUCAAUUAUUUGGGUCCGCAUUAUGAAGCAAAGGCUCUGUGCCAUGACACCAGUUGUUGCUGACAGCUGGAAUCUCAGGUCCCCUUGAUCAUGUGGGCUUU